GGAUCCCGGGGUUCCCGAAACGUUUGGAUCGGAGCGGCAACCAAAAUCAGUGAGUAAUAGCAUACAAAACUGGCCGGAAUAGGCCAAAACUGCGAGUUUUCAUGAUUUCCCCAUAACCGGACCUCGGGGUUCCCGAAACGUUCGGAUCACAACGGGACCCAAAAUCAAUGACUAAUAGCAUACAAAACUGACGGGAAUAGGCCAAAACUGCGAGUUUUGACGAGUUCCACGUAAUCGGUCCCCGGGGUUACCAAAUCGUUCGGAUCGCAGCGGGAACCAAAAUCAGUGAGUAAUAGCAUACAAAACUGGCAGGAAUAAGCCAGAACUGCGACUUUCCAUGAGUUCCACGUAAUCGGACCCCGGGGUUCCCAAAACGUUCGGAUCACAGCGGGACCCAAAAUCAGUGAGUGAUAGCAUACAAAACUGGCCAAAAUAGACCAAAAGUACGAGUUUUGACGAGUUCCCCGUAACCGGACCCCGGGGUUCCCGAAAUGUUUGGAUCGCAGCGGCAACCAAAAUCAGUG
rnacentral:lncRNA from 1 species